CCCUGGCAUGCCUGUUCAAGGUGGUGUAGGCAUCAGUAGAAGCUUCGAUGAGGUGGCCAUCACCUGUUUGAAGUAUGAUCACCAAGAAAAUCCUCGGCUGGUGCAUAGACUCGACAAAGAUUGCAGUGGCAUCUGGUGAUGGGCAG